AUUUUUAGUGGUGAAGUUGUCCCUCAAAAAGCUCAUUGCACUUCUCUGUGUCUCAAGGGUACAUGCAAAGUGGAGUAAAGUGGCAGAGCAGCAUUCUCAGAGACCUCAAGGGCUCCCAAACUUCUCAUGCCCCAAAGUGGGGACAGGAAAUAGGAUGUGAAAUGUAUAUUCCUUUUGCUGCUUUGGGUCAAAGCAGCAGCAGCGGCCAGGCCCAACCCAGCCCCGCCCUCCAGGGGACUGUAGCCUGUAUUCCCAGCAGGAAUCCAAGCCAAGGAACCUAAAGUCUCUCCGCUCCGGGAGCCGUGGUGCCUCGUUUAUUCCCGAAGGAUAGUGUUUUUAUGCGUUCUGAAAAGAUCAACAUUCACAGUUUUUCUUACCUGGGGUAGGGGAUUGGGUUUGGGGAGGGGGAUGGAUAAGGUGGGGAGGAUACCUCGGCAGAGUUAGUUUUCACCAUUCGGUGACCUUUCCUUGAAAUGAAAAAUAAACAAUUUUGGAUUUUAAACA
rnacentral:lncRNA from 1 species